GUCAUCUCUCGAGCGCUGGCCGUGGAUCACUGCAAACACUGAAAAGGCAUUUUUGCUUCGUCAAUCUACAUUUAAAACUGCUGCUUAUUUGUUUCAGGAAAACCCCUAUUUUGACAUCACCUUCAAAUCGAAAGCGUUUGUUGCUGUUCUCGGAUUUGUUUUUUAUUUGUGUUAAUGUUGAUUAUUGUGUCAAUUUCGUUUCUUUUCGUGAAAAAGUUUUACGUUGGCAACUUUUGCGCUCUAUAUAUGAUGCUGAUGGGAGAUUCAGAGACAAACUGAAGCUAAACAAUGAGACAGGAUCUCUCACCAUCACAAACAUCAGCAUCACAAACUCUGGACUUUAUAUAAACUACAAAUCUGCAAUAGGCCUAAGACAAAAUGUUCAGAAAAGAGAUUCAAUGUUACCGUAUAUGCCCGUCUGCCUGUUCCUGUCAUCAUCAGUUACUGUCCGCAGGAUCCUAAAUCAUCAGAAAGAUCUUCAGUGUCAAAAUGUGUAUUGUUGUGUUCAGUGAUGAAUGUGACACAUGUGAGUCUCUCCGGGUACAAAGGAAACAGUUUAUUGUCCAGCAUCAGUGUGUCUGAUCUCAACAUCAGACUCUCUCUUCCUCUGGAGGUGGAAUAUCACGAUACAAACACAUACAGCUGUGUCAUCAACAAUCCCAUCACAAACCACACACAACAUUUAGACAUCACUCAAAUAUGUCGGACACAUUCAGAAUCGAAACCGGCUUGCAUAGUUUUAGCAUUAAUACUGUUUGUUCUGGUGCUUAUAUGUGUGAUAUGUUUCUACUGGAAAAGAAGGGGAAGUAGGCUAUGUUUCUACUAUAACAAUCAUGUUACCGUAUAAAAUGGUUGAUCUUGAUUAUCAUCUUCAUGUUUUUGUGCUCAUAGGCCCCUGUUGAGCAAGACAAUAGCGAGUGCACCAAGGAACAAAGAAAUCCAUAAUUUGUUCCCAAAGAAGACAACCCUCUGUUAUUGAUGCUAUAUGAAGAUUUCUUGGAUGAUAUGGAAAUGUGAAGAAUGCAUAAUUUAUUUAAAUAAAAAUUGUAACACAUCUAUGCUUUAAUGCAUGUUGA